GUAACAAGGUUUCCGUAGGUGAACCUGCGGAAGGAUCAUUACCGAGUGUAGGGUUCCUAGCGAGCCCAACCUCCCACCCGUGUUUACUGUACCUUAGUUGCUUCGGCGGGCCCGCCAUUCAUGGCCGCCGGGGGCUCUCAGCCCCGGGCCCGCGCCCGCCGGAGACACCACGAACUCUGUCUGAUCUAGUGAAGUCUGAGUUGAUUGUAUCGCAAUCAGUUAAAACUUUCAACAAUGGAUCUCUUGGUUCCGGCAUCGAUGAAGAACGCAGCGAAAUGCGAUAACUAGUGUGAAUUGCAGAAUUCCGUGAAUCAUCGAGUCUUUGAACGCACAUUGCGCCCCCUGGUAUUCCGGGGGGCAUGCCUGUCCGAGCGUCAUUGCUGCCCAUCAAGCACGGCUUGUGUGUUGGGUCGUCGUCCCCUCUCCGGGGGGGACGGGCCCCAAAGGCAGCGGCGGCACCGCGUCCGAUCCUCGAGCGUAUGGGGCUUUGUCACCCGCUCUGUAGGCCCGGCCGGCGCUUGCCGAACGCAAAUCAAUCUUUUCCAGGUUGACCUCGGAUCAGGUAGG
rnacentral:rRNA from 1 species